AACGAACGCUGGCGGCAUGCCUAACACAUGCAAGUCGAACGAGACCUUCGGGUCUAGUGGCGCACGGGUGCGUAACGCGUGGGAACCUGCCCUUAGGUUCGGAAUAACUCCCCGAAAGGGGUGCUAAUACCGGAUAAUGUCUUCGGACCAAAGAUUUAUCGCCUUUGGAUGGGCCCGCGUUGGAUUAGCUAGUUGGUAGGGUAAAAGCCUACCAAGGCGACGAUCCAUAGCUGGUCUGAGAGGAUGAUCAGCCACACUGGGACUGAGACACGGCCCAGACCCCUCGGGGGGGAAGAAGGGGGGAAUAUGGGAAAAGGGGCGAAAGCCGGACCCAGCAAUGCCGGGGGGGUGAUGAAGGCCUUAGGGUUGUAAAGCUUUUUUACCCGGGAUGAAAAGGACAGUACCGGGAGAAUAAGCCCCGGCUAACCCCGU
rnacentral:rRNA from 1 species